rnacentral:lncRNA from 1 species
UCACCAUGUUGGCCAGGCUGGUCUUUAACUCCUGACCUCAGGUGAUCCGCCCACCUCGGCCUCCCAAAGUGUUGGGAUUACAGGUGUGAGCCACCGCACCCAGUCCCUUGGUUACUUUUUCAAGUGAACUUUUUGAUUCUUGUUACUCUCUGGGGAAAAGCCUGGCGUUUUUUGUUUUUAGGUGGAUCACCAGAGGUCAGGAGUUGGAGACCAGCCUGGCCAACAUGGUGAAACCCCAUCUCUACUAAAAAUACAAAAAUUAGCCAGGCGUGGUGGCGGUUGUCUGUAAUCCCAGCUACUCAGGAGGCUGAGGCAGGACAAUUGCUUGAACCUGGGAGGCAGAGGUUGCAGUGAGCUGAAAUCGUCAUGUGUCGAAACGGGGGGCCGGGGAGGGCUCAGAGAACAAGGGUCAAAGCUUUCUUAGGAAAUGUCAGGCCGCUGGUUUCAUUUAACUUGUUUUUUUGUUUGUUUAUUGUUGUUUUGAGAUGG